GGGUUGUGAGGUUAAGCGACUAAGCGUACACGGUGGAUGCCCUGGCAGUCAGAGGCGAUGAAGGACGUACUAAUCUGCGAAAAGCGUCGGUAAGGUGAUAUGAACCGUUAUAACCGGCGAUGUCCGAAUGGGGAAACCCAGUGCAAUUCGUUGCACUAUCGUUAACUGAAUACAUAGGUUAACGAGGCGAACCGGGGGAACUGAAACAUCUAAGUACCCCGAGGAAAAGAAAUCAACCGAGAUUCCCCCAGUAGCGGCGAGCGAACGGGGAGCAGCCCAGAGUCUGAAUCAGCUUGUGUGUUAGUGGAACGGUCUGGAAAGUCCGACGGUACAGGGUGAUAGUCCCGUACACCAAAAUGCACAGGCUGUGAACUCGAAGAGUAGGGCGGGACACGUGGUAUCCUGUCUGAAUAUGGGGGGACCAUCCUCCAAGGCUAAAUACUCCUGACUGACCGAUAGUGAACCAGUACCGUGAGGGAAAGGCGAAAAGAACCCCGGCGAGGGGAGUGAAAAAGAACCUGAAACCGUGUACGUACAAGCAGUGGGAGCACCUUCGGGUGUGACUGCGUACCUUUUGUAUAAUGGGUCAGCGACUUAUAUUCUGUAGCAAGGUUAACCGUAUAGGGGAGCCGCAGGGAAACCGAGUCUUAACUGGGCGUUAAGUUGCAGGGUAUAGACCCGAAACCCGGUGAUCUAGCCAUGGGCAGGUUGAAGGUUGGGUAACACUAACUGGAGGACCGAACCGACUAAUGUUGAAAAAUUAGCGGAUGACUUGUGGCUGGGGGUGAAAGGCCAAUCAAACCGGGAGAUAGCUGGUUCUCCCCGAAAGCUAUUUAGGUAGCGCCUCGUGAACUCAUCUUCGGGGGUAGAGCACUGUUUCGGCUAGGGGGUCAUCCCGACUUACCAACCCGAUGCAAACUACGAAUACCGAAGAAUGUUAUCACGGGAGACACACGGCGGGUGCUAACGUCCGUCGUGAAGAGGGAAACAACCCAGACCGCCAGCUAAGGUCCCAAAGUCAUGGUUAAGUGGGAAACGAUGUGGGAAGGCACAGACAGCCAGGAUGUUGGCUUAGAAGCAGCCAUCAUUUAAAGAAAGCGUAAUAGCUCACUGGUCGAGUCGGCCUGCGCGGAAGAUGUAACGGGGCUAAACCAUGCACCGAAGCUGCGGCAGCGACACUAUGUGUUGUUGGGUAGGGGAGCGUUCUGUAAGCCUGCGAAGGUGUGCUGUGAGGCAUGCUGGAGGUAUCAGAAGUGCGAAUGCUGACAUAAGUAACGAUAAAGCGGGUGAAAAGCCCGCUCGCCGGAAGACCAAGGGUUCCUGUCCAACGUUAAUCGGGGCAGGGUGAGUCGACCCCUAAGGCGAGGCCGAAAGGCGUAGUCGAUGGGAAACAGGUUAAUAUUCCUGUACUUGGUGUUACUGCGAAGGGGGGACGGAGAAGGCUAUGUUAGCCGGGCGACGGUUGUCCCGGUUUAAGCAUGUAGGCUGGUUGUCCAGGCAAAUCCGGAUAAUCAAGGCUGAGGUGUGAUGACGAGGCACUACGGUGCUGAAGUAACAAAUGCCCUGCUUCCAGGAAAAGCCUCUAAGCAUCAGGUAACAUCAAAUCGUACCCCAAACCGACACAGGUGGUCAGGUAGAGAAUACCAAGGCGCUUGAGAGAACUCGGGUGAAGGAACUAGGCAAAAUGGUGCCGUAACUUCGGGAGAAGGCACGCUGGUGUGUAGGUGAAGCCCCUGCGGGUGGAGCUGAGACCAGUCGAAGAUACCAGCUGGCUGCAACUGUUUAUUAAAAACACAGCACUGUGCAAACACGAAAGUGGACGUAUACGGUGUGACGCCUGCCCGGUGCCGGAAGGUUAAUUGAUGGGGUUAUCCGUAAGGAGAAGCUCUUGAUCGAAGCCCCGGUAAACGGCGGCCGUAACUAUAACGGUCCUAAGGUAGCGAAAUUCCUUGUCGGGUAAGUUCCGACCUGCACGAAUGGCGUAAUGAUGGCCAGGCUGUCUCCACCCGAGACUCAGUGAAAUUGAACUCGCUGUGAAGAUGCAGUGUACCCGCGGCAAGACGGAAAGACCCCGUGAACCUUUACUAUAGCUUGACACUGAACAUUGAGCCUUGAUGUGUAGGAUAGGUGGGAGGCUUUGAAGCGUGGACGCCAGUCUGCGUGGAGCCAACCUUGAAAUACCACCCUUUAAUGUUUGAUGUUCUAACGUUGGCCCCUGACCGGGGUUGCGGACAGUGUCUGGUGGGUAGUUUGACUGGGGCGGUCUCCUCCCAAAGCGUAACGGAGGAGCACGAAGGUUAGCUAAUCCUGGUCGGACAUCAGGAGGUUAGUGCAAUGGCAUAAGCUAGCUUGACUGCGAGCGUGACGGCGCGAGCAGGUGCGAAAGCAGGUCAUAGUGAUCCGGUGGUUCUGAAUGGAAGGGCCAUCGCUCAACGGAUAAAAGGUACUCCGGGGAUAACAGGCUGAUACCGCCCAAGAGUUCAUAUCGACGGCGGUGUUUGGCACCUCGAUGUCGGCUCAUCACAUCCUGGGGCUGAAGUAGGUCCCAAGGGUAUGGCUGUUCGCCAUUUAAAGUGGUACGCGAGCUGGGUUUAGAACGUCGUGAGACAGUUCGGUCCCUAUCUGCCGUGGGCGCUGGAGAAUUGAGGGGGGCUGCUCCUAGUACGAGAGGACCGGAGUGGACGCAUCACUGGUGUUCGGGUUGUCAUGCCAAUGGCACUGCCCGGUAGCUAAAUGCGGAAGAGAUAAGUGCUGAAAGCAUCUAAGCACGAAACUUGCCCCGAGAUGAGUUCUCCCUGAGACUUUAAGUCUCCUGAAGGAACGUUAAAGACGAUGACGUUGAUAGGCCGGGUGUGUAAGCGCAGCGAUGCGUUGAGCUAACCGGUACUAAUGAACCGUGAGGCUUAACCUUACAACGCCGAAG
rnacentral:rRNA from 1 species